rnacentral:rRNA from 1 species
AUGACCGACGUCCGCCCCGGCUGGGUGAUGCUAGAUGGCUUCGUCUUCAUCAGGGGCGCCAACACAUCCUUGCCGGAGAAGGGCUAUCGGCCCUUGAGGGCCCAAGGUACCACCUCCCAGGGCGUCAACUUCGACAUCGCACUCUGCCUCGCCGAUCCCCCAGACACCUCCCGCCUCUAUGUGCUGUCUCCGAGCGAUGCGAGUCCAGAUACCGCGUGCGACAUCUUGGCGGCGCACGGCAACCACUUUCUGUUUGUGAUCACCUACUUCUUAAGGUCGCACGAGACGUCCAACCUGCGGUGCUAUCAGGAUCCCUUCAUCUGCAGUGUCAUCUCACGGGACCUGCCGCCGCUUCUCAAACGGCUUCCGGCACACACCGAGCCGCUCAUCGCACGUAAGGUGGAUGGGGCAGAGAUAACUCUGCAGCGCCUGUUUUUCCCAGGGGAUGCUGGUCUCUUGUGCCGCGAUGAACAAGUGUUUGCUGUGGCGCAGCUGGACCAACUUAUUCCAAUUUCAGACAGCAACAGGUCUGAAGCUGAAAUUGUUGUGCUCAACACCGAUGGCAAAGAUGAUGAUGCCAUGUGGGAGGUUAAGCGGCUACCGAUCCUCCAUCCUAACCGUGAAAAGUUGGAUAUCUCUCCAUGGUCAACUGAUACAGUGAUAUCUUUCAAGAAUUAUAUUUGCUGGGUUGAUUACUGCAUGGGAGGUAUCUUAUUCUUUGAUGCCUUCAAAGGAAGGCCUGAUAUCUCUUACCUUGAUUUACCACCUGUUCAGGGCCCCCCCCCUGACCAUCCACCUGUUGGCAGAGGAUACUUACAAAUGUACCGCGGGGUGUCUGUCACCGAUGAAGGUCGUUUGCUCAAGUUUGUUCAUGUUGACCGUAUUGAUGGAGAGCUUGUUGGCCCAUCUGAUUCUGGUUACACCAUAACCUCCCAUACUUUGGAGAUAACAGAGGAUGGAGACAUGGGGUGGGUCCAGGAUGAUAUUAUGCACUCAGAUCCAGUGUUGCCUUCUGUUCGCACUCGCUAUGACUUCAGUAUUCUGAAAUUCCCUCUUGUGAGUAUGGACGAUGCCCAUGUGGUACACUUUCUGUACUCUGAGGCCACGAAUGAUGGCCAUUACAAGAUUUCGGUGGUUACUGUUGAUAUGAAGACCAAGGCACUGCUGUCAACUCAUCCGUAUAUAAAAGCUGAAGACCGCUUGGGAGAAGACACCGACAUGUAUGAAUUCAAGUAUUGUAAACUCAAGAGUUUUCUCCCCAUCAAGUUCCCCAUGAGUGUCACCAGGAAGAGGAAGCUCCUGGAUUAA